rnacentral:rRNA from 1 species
UACAGAGGGGGCAAGCGUUAUUCGGAAUUAUUGGGCGUAAAGCGCACGUAGGCGGAUUGGUCAGUUAGGGGUGAAAUCCUGGAGCUCAACUCCAGAACUGCCUUUAAUACUGCCAGUCUAGAGUCCGGAAGAGGUAAGUGGAACUCCUAGUGUAGAGGUGGAAUUCGUAGAUAUUAGGAAGAACACCAGUGGCGAAGGCGGCUUACUGGUCCGGUACUGACGCUGAGGUGCGAAAGCGUGGGGAGCAAACAGGAUUGAGAUACCCGUU